rnacentral:rRNA from 1 species
GGAGGGUGCAAGCGUUAAUUGGAAUUACUGGGCGUAAAGCGCGCGUAGGUGGCUUGAUAAGCCGGUUGUGAAAGCCCCGGGCUCAACCUGGGAACGGCAUCCGGAACUGUCAAGCUAGAGUGCAGGAGAGGAAGGUAGAAUUCCCGGUGUAGCGGUGAAAUGCGUAGAGAUCGGGAGGAAUACCAGUGGCGAAGGCGGCCUUCUGGACUGACACUGACACUGAGGUGCGAAAGCGUGGGUAGCAAACAGGAUUAGAUACCCUGGUAGUCCACGCCGUAAACGAUGUCGACCAGCCGUUGGGUGCCUAGCGCACUUUGUGGCGAAGUUAACGCGAUAAGUCGACCGCCUGGGGAGUACGGCCGCAAGGUUAAAACUCAAAUGAAUUGACGGGGGCCCGCACAAGCGGUGGAGCAUGUGGUUUAAUUCGAUGCAACGCGAAGAACCUUACCUACUCUUGACAUCCUGCGAAUUUGGUAGAGAUACCUUAGUGCCUUCGGGAACGCAGAGACAGGUGCUGCAUGGCUGUCGUCAGCUCGUGUUGUGAAAUGUUGGGUUAAGUCCCGUAACGAGCGCAACCCUUGUCCUUAUUUGCCAGCGCGUAAUGGCGGGAACUCUAAGGAGACUGCCGGUGACAAACCGGAGGAAGGUGGGGACGACGUCAAGUCAUCAUGGCCCUUACGAGUAGGGCUACACACGUGCUACAAUGGUCGGUACAAAGGGUUGCCAACUCGCGAGAGUGAGCCAAUCCCGAAAAGCCGAUCUCAGUCCGGAUCGGAGUCUGCAACUCGACUCCGUGAAGUCGGAAUCGCUAGUAAUCGUGGAUCAGAAUGCCACGGUGAAUACGUUCCCGGGCCUU